CAAGUCGAACGAGAAAGUGGAGCAAUCCAUGAGUAAAGUGGCGCACGGGUGAGUAACACGUGACUAACCUUCCCAGGAGUGGGGGAUAACUGAGGGAAACCUUAGCUAAUACCGCAUAACACCUACGGGUCAAAGGAGCAAUUCGCUUCUGGAGGGGGUCGCGGCCGAUUAGUUAGUUGGCAGGGUAAUGGCCUACCAAGACGAUGAUCGGUAUCCGGCCUGAGAGGGCGCACGGACACACUGGAACUGAAACACGGUCCAGACUCCUACGGGAGGCAGCAGUGGGGAAUUUUGCGCAAUGGGGGAAACCCUGACGCAGCAACGCCGCGUGGAGGAUGAAGUCCUUCGGGACGUAAACUCCUUUCGAUCGGGACGAUUAUGACGGUACCGGAAGAAGAAGCCCCGGCUAACUUCGUGCCAGCAGCCGCGGUAAUACGAGGGGGGCGAGCGUUGUUCGGAAUUAUUGGGCGUAAAGGGUGCGUAGGCGGUUUGGUAAGUCUGAUGUGAAAUCUAUGGGCUCAACUCAUAGUCUGCAUCGGAAACUGCCGGGCUUGAGUAUGGGAGAGGUGAGUGGAAUUCCUGGUGUAGCGGUGAAAUGCGUAGAUAUCANNNGGAACACCUGUGGCGAAAGCGGCUCACUGGACCAUAACUGACGCUGAUGCACGAAAGCUAGGGGAGCAAACAGGAUUAGAUACCCUGGUAGUCCUAGCCCUAAACGAUGACUGCUUGGUGUGACGGGUACCCAAUCCCGCCGUGCCGUAGCUAACGCGUUAAGCAGUCCGCCUGGGGAGUACGGUCGCAAGGCUGAAACUCAAAGGA
rnacentral:rRNA from 1 species